GGGAUUGUAGCUCAGUGGCAGAACAUCUGCCCAGCAUGCAGAAGGCCCCAGGUUCAAACCCUGGCAUCUCCA